rnacentral:rRNA from 1 species
CCCUUAGAUGUCCUGGGCCGCACGCGCGCUACACUGAACGGAUCAGCGCGUUUUCCCUUCCCGAGGGGGACGGGUAACCUGCUGAACCCCGUUCGUGGUAGGGAUCGGGGCUUGCAAUUAUUCCCCGUGAACCAGGAAUGCCCAGUAAGUGCAAGUCAUAAGCUUGCGUUGAUUACGUCCCUGCCCUUUGUACACACCGCCCGUCGCUACUACCGAUUGAACGUUUUAGUGAGGUACUCGGACUGAGCCUCAGAAGAUUCACGUCUUUUGUGCUGCUCGGGAAGAUUCCCAAACUUGAGCGUUUAGAGGAAGUAAAAGUCGUAACA